rnacentral:rRNA from 1 species
CUAGCGGCAUGCCUAACACAUGCAAGUCGAACGAGAUCUUCGGAUCUAGUGGCGGACGGGUGAGUAAUGCGUGGGAAUCUGCCUAGUAGUGGGGAAUAACCUGGGGAAACUCAGGCUAAUACCGCAUACGCCCUACGGGGGAAAGCGGGGUUCGCCUCGUGCUAUUAGAUGAGCCCACGUCCGAUUAGCUUGUUGGUGAGGUAACGGCUCACCAAGGCGACGAUCGGUAGCUGGUCUGAGAGGAUGAUCAGCCACACUGGGACUGAGACACGGCCCAGACUCCUACGGGAGGCAGCAGUGGGGAAUAUUGGACAAUGGGCGAAAGCCUGAUCCAGCAAUGCCGCGUGUGUGAAGAAGGCCUGCGGGUUGUAAAGCACUUUCAGUGGGGAGGAAACACAACGGGUUAAUACCCCGUUGGAUUGACGUUACCCACAGAAGAAGCACCGGCUAACUCCGUGCCAGCAGCCGCGGUAAGACGGAGGGUGCAAGCGUUAAUCGGAAUUACUGGGCGUAAAGCGCACGUAGGCGGCUGAGUAAGUCGGAUGUGAAAGCCCCGGGCUUAACCUGGGAAUUGCAUUCGAUACUGCUCGGCUAGAGUUUGGUAGAGGGAAGCGGAAUUUCCGGUGUAGCGGUGAAAUGCGUAGAUAUCGGAAGGAACACCAGUGGCGAAGGCGGCUUCCUGGACCAAAACUGACGCUGAGGUGCGAAAGCGUGGGUAGCAAACAGGAUUAGAUACCCUGGUAGUCCACGCCCUAAACGAUGAGAACUAGACGUUGGGGGUAUUUAGACCCUUUGUGUCGCAGCAAACGCGUUAAGUUCUCCGCCUGGGGAGUACGGCCGCAAGGUUGAAACUCAAAGUAAUUGACGGGGGCCUGCACAAGCGGUGGAGCAUGUGGUUUAAUUCGAUGCAACGCGAAGAACCUUACCUGCCCUUGACAUCCUCGGAACCCUGCAGAGAUGCGGGGGUGCAUUCGGGAACCGAGUGACAGGUGCUGCAUGGCUGUCGUCAGCUCGUGUCGUGCGAUGUUGGGUUAAGUC